AAUACUCUCUAGUGACCGAUAGUGAACCAGUACCGUGAGGGAAAGGUGAAAAGCACCCCGGAAGGGGAGUGAAAUAGAACCUGAAACCGUGUGCUUACAAGUAGUCAGAGCCCGUUAAUGGGGGAUGGCGUGCCUUUUGUAGAAUGAACCGGCGAGUUACGAUUUGAUGCAAGGUUAAGCAGUAAAUGUGGAGCCGUAGCGAAAGCGAGUCUGAAUAGGGCGUUUAGUAUUUGGUCGUAGACCCGAAACCAGGUGAUCUACCCUUGGUCAGGUUGAAGUUCAGGUAACACUGAAUGGAGGACCGAACCGACUUACGUUGAAAAGUGAGCGGAUGAACUGAGGGUAGCGGAGAAAUUCCAAUCGAACCUGGAGAUAGCUGGUUCUCUCCGAAAUAGCUUUAGGGCUAGCCUCAAGUGAUGAUUAUUGGAGGUAGAGCACUGUUUGGACGAGGGGCCCCUCUCGGGUUACCGAAUUCAGACAAACUCCGAAUGCCAAUUAAUUUAACUUGGGAGUCAGAACAUGGGUGAUAAGGUCCGUGUUCGAAAGGGAAACAGCCCAGACCACCAGCUAAGGUCCCAAAAUAUA
rnacentral:rRNA from 1 species